rnacentral:lncRNA from 1 species
GGAGUGGCUCCGAGCGGGCCGAGCGAAGCGCGCGGCGGGCGGCAGUGCCGCGCGCCGGCGAGUUUCGGAGAGUCGCGGGAGGCCCCAACGGCAUCCCCCUCGCCGAAUACCGCGGCACCGUCGCGCGCUUCGUGCUCCUCGCGGUCCACCCCUCCACCGAGGGGGCCGUCGGCGGCACCGCGAGCUGCUCGGAGUUCCCGAGUCGCGCGCGCCGUGCCCGGGCCCUCUCAUCAGCGCCGUCCCGUCGCCCCUGGGCGAUCGGACGGCCCGACGCUCCACGGAGCGGAUCACAACGAUGUCGCGGACGUGCGUCGAGGCCCCCGACCGACGGCUACCUCUCCGGAGGAGCCCCGGUCCCGGGCCUCCGCUACGUCCCCCGCACCACCGGAGCGACAGGGCAGCCAUCGAGCGCCGCACACCGCCGGCAGGUUCUCCGACCCGCCGCGCAGGGACUCUCGCCGAGCACCGGCGUUCCGGGCGCCGAUCCGCUCGGCGCCCAACGACCAUCUCGCCGCACUGCGGCGAGGCAACGGAAAUCGCACCACGGUGCGUGAGGAAACGGGGUCGGGUCGCCGCGCCUCGUCUAGACGAGCCGUUCGCGGCGCCCGUCCCAGCGUCCGGGAAGGACCGAUCGCUCGUGUCGCCGGGGCUCCGCUAGCGCGGAGCCUCUCAGCGGACGGCACAGCUCCGAUCGCUGCUUCGCACUGUGAACGGUGGGCGCUCCCGGCCGGUCGCCGUCUUCUCCGGGCCGCGCCCGGGCUGCACGGUCCGGCCUCGCGGAGCGCCGCUGCCCGCGCAGCUCCGACCCCGCCUCGGCGGGUGAUCGGCGCCGCGGGACCCGCACUCGCCGGUCGGCGGGCCUUCGCGCCACGCGGAGGCCCCCGCGCCGCGCGGAAGCAAGCAAUCUGGUUGAUCCUGCCAGUAGUCAUAUGCUCGUCUCAAAGACUAAGCCAUGCAUGUCUCAGUGCAAGCCGAACUAAGGUGGAACCGCGAAAGGCUCAUUAA